UUACUUACCUGGACGAGGUCUAUGGGCGAUCAAUUAGGCUCAUGGCCUAGGCUGAUGGUUUCCAUUGCACUUAGGAAGGGUAUCAGCCUAAGAUCUCCCCAAGUGGGAGAGUCUACGUCAUAAUUUGUGA
rnacentral:snRNA from 1 species